ACUCAACUAUUAACAAAAUCUUAAUUGAACAAUUAAAAAGGGAUUAGAGUUUUACUCAAACUGGCAAAAGAGCUAAGAAGGGAAGAGAUUCUAUUAUCUAUUAAAGUGGCUUGGGCCAUCACAGCAAUUAACGAGAAAUUGAAUUCAAAAAAGAUGGGCGAGUCUGUGUAAGUAGAGUACAUAAUCAAAUUUUGCAAAUGCCUUCAUGCCUAGGCCCAAAAGUGAGCCCACUUUUGCUAACCAAGGUGAAGGUCACCUGGCCAACCUUUAUUUCGUUGAUUGGGCCAGUAUUAAGCCCAAAUUUCGAACCAGCCUUCAUGCAGAUUAACUAUUUGCAAUUAAGAAGUUAUAUGAAACAUUAAGCAGAACUGACUCUUUGCUUCUGAAUUUUAACCAUUAGCCAACAUUCUGAACUAUAACCAACGUUUCCAUUUAACAUCUUAAACUCAGCAUCAAAUAAAUCAAUAGUUGCUUUUAACCCAAGAAUAUUGUGAACUAUUCACUUCCCCUUAAACAAGAUUUCAAUCCCCUAUUUAAGGUCGAAUCCUAUCCAACACAAGAACCUUCAAUAGGCUAUUAGCUCACCAUACGUAUCUAACAUUAAAUGCACUGAUAACAAACCAACAGAGAUUUAUGUUUGCAUUUAAUUUCUAAACUAAUCCCCACAAAUAAACAUAGAGAAUAUAAGCUCGCAUAAACCAUCAAAAUGACAAUUCUAACUAAGUAAGAUGUUGCAUAUUUCCAAGCUGCAAAGUGGAACCUCAGAUUAGAAGAACACUACCUUGACAUAAUUAAACAACAGUAAUGUCUAACAAUCCAAUCACAUGCCAGAUUCUAAACCUUAUUACAAUUCCAAAUUUCUAAGUUUAAACAUCUAUCUAAAUAACAGCCUUAAACCAACAUCAAUUCUAACUAUCAAUUUAAACAGCUCCAUUAGCAGUUUCAAUAGAAUAUUACAACCAUUUGAAUCACCAUAUCAAGUUACCACUUCACAUUUUUGUUCAUAAACUCACAAAAUCACCCAACCAACAACAAAUUAUUGCAGAUCAACUAAGUAUAGCACUAAUGUUUCAUUACAUCAGACUGAAAACCUGUGAAAGCUGUAAAUAACAUGCACGGCUCUUAACUAGUACAAAUGUAUUACUAAGAACAGGAAUAAACAAGUCAUCAAGCUCAAAGCAAAUUUUUUAUUUAACUAAGUUUCCACCACAUAAUGCAUGGAAAUAACUGUUUUUCCAUCUGUAGUUUAUGGAAAUAACUGGAGAAUGAAAAGAAACAAAGCAAAGUGAGCAGAGGUCAAGCUGCAGUAGAAAGGUAGCAGAAAUCAGCACCAGCAACACCAGCUCAAACCCAAAAAAUAAACCACUUUCAAAUUAACAAUGACCCAGCAAACUUCAAACCAGACUUUAAUGACUCGAAUUCAAUCCAUUUUUACCCCAAGGAAAAUCAAAACAUUUUCAGUAAUGGAAAACUUCAAAAACCACAGAAAAAAUCUAAUGGAACAAUGUUUUUACUAAACAUUUGACCUGUUUUUCUAGUUUUCAUAAUUUUUUCUUUUUUUUUUUGUGGUCUCUGAAAUCUUUUCAUAAAUCUCUCAAAACCUGCUCUAAAAUCUUUUCCAGAAAAAUCUCUAAAAUCCUCCUCCAAAAUCUAAAUUCAACUUCAAUUAGCAAUGCCUUUAUAGACAAGCUAUUAGGGCAGUCUUGAGGGUUAAAAGUUUACCUAUUGCCCCUUUUCCAAUUAUCAUUUUGCUACUUAAUCCCUAAAUUUUUGACUUGCUUGCAAAGUAAGGCUAUUUUUCAGCUUUUAUGAAGCUACAUACGCAGUUACCCAAAGAUUCCCUAAGUUAGACUACCCAAAUAACCCCUUAACGACCCUCAAAUUACCUCGCAAUAGACCAACUUAGGUCAAAUUGACCCAAGGCAGACCAGACAUGAGCCUUUAACAAAACCUGGAUUAAUCCAUUUCUUCGGGCUUUCAAACAAAGUCUGGGUUUCAAAACCCAAAAUCAAACAAACUUGAAAGAAUUUAGCACAAACCUUCAAAAAACGAACAAAAGCACUUUGAAAUAAAAAAAGGACUUCAUAACUAAAUAGCCCCCUUUACAUCAAAACUAAAAGAAAAUCAAACAAACUAAAACCACAUUAAAGGAAAUACGAAUUAACAAUUAGCAUGGAUUAAAGGGACACAUGCAGAAGUGAGUUUGAUAAAACAGAUGAAGAAAAGAUGAACGGAAACAACAAAGAAUAAAAAAUGAAAUAAAAAAUGACCAAAACAAAUCAUGCAAGACCAAACAAUGAACCGGAAUACCUAGCAAGGAUGGCCAACCUUGAAGUUCUUCCUCAAUCUCUCAAUUUUGACCAAAAGGGGUCUCAAUCAUAUGUUCUUAGAUGAAAACACAUUACCAAAGUCCAUUUUGGUCCUAAUCGUCACCAAAUCUGCCGAUUUUAAAGUUUAACAUUUUAGGUCUCAACUUCGACUUUAGAUUUGACAAGAUCGGGGCACAUUCGAGGAAAAAGAGUAAUAGAUUUAAGACGAGUGAGGCUUGACGGUCCUAUGAUGUUAGUUUGGGGUCGAAAGAAAGAGAAACUUUAUGGCCCAAAACUUCCCUUCUUCAAUCCUAAAGGCUUUUAAAAGGAGAAGAAAAGAGGAGACAGGAAAAUGAAAUAAUGUGGUCCAAGUUUCAAAUCUAAACAAAUGAGUUACAUUUGGACUAAGAGAAAGGGUUGUCUUGAGUGUUCAAGAGUGUUA
rnacentral:lncRNA from 1 species